UACGUAUGGUGCAAGCGUUGUUCGGAAUCACUGGGCAUAAAGAGCACGUAGGCGGCUCUUCAAGUCAGGUGUGAAAGCCCUCGGCUCAACCGAGGAACUGCGCCUGAUACUGCUGAGCUCAGAGUGCGGGAGGGGAGAACGGAAUUCCAGGUGGAGCGGUGAAAUGCGUAGAUAUCUGGAGGAACGCCGGAGGCGAAAGCGGUUCUCUGGCCCGCCACUGACGCUGAGGUGCGAAAGCUAGGGGAGCAAACAGG
rnacentral:rRNA from 1 species